UGCGAAUCAGAACACUGUUCCCAGGUCAGCCUGCAGAGGAGAGCGGGAAGAUUCGGGAAGGAGACGUCAUUCUGUCCAUUAACGGAGAGCCACUCAAGGGCUUGUCCUAUCAGCAAGUGCUGCAGUUACUGAGGAAUUCUCCUUCAGAGGUGCAGCUGCUUCUCUGCCGUCCUGCUCAAGGAACACUUCCACCUAUAUCAGAGAAAAUAGGCCAACUGACCUGCAGCUGAACCAUGAAAGAUGAAAUAUGGGCAUUUAAUGAAUGUCUUCUCCUGGGAACGAAGGUCAUAGAGGAAUCCUGGUGCAUUAUGGGAGAGGAUGGAUCCUUCAGUGGGGUCCUCUGGAAUACAGAGAAGCUGAGCAUUGAGAGCAGAAGCUGACCGAGUGUUUGAAGUCUUACAGUGAUCCUGCAUUUUACUCGAC
rnacentral:lncRNA from 1 species